ensembl:misc_RNA 7SK 7SK RNA
GGAUGUGAGGGUGAUCUGGCUGCAACAUCUGCCACCCCACUGAUCAACCCAGGGUUGAUUUGGCUGAUCUGGCCAGCGAGGUGGGUGUCCCCUUCCUCCAUCACCACCCCAUGUGCUUCCCUCCAAAGCUGCACACUCAGUCACAGAGGACGGCCUUCCCCGAAUAGAGACGGACCGGUCUUCGGUUGAGGACAUAAGAGUAGCUGCGCUCCUCUACUAGAACCUACAAACAAGCUCUCAAGAUCAACCCUUGUCACAUGUUACUACAAUAGUUGGCAGUAAAUAGAGAUUUAUAAGUGAGCAUCAGAAGCCAUAUCAGCUUUUAAGAUUAGUAUUGCAGUGAGC